AUGAACGCUGGCGGCGUGCCUAAUACAUGCAAGUCGAGCGAACAGACGAGGAGCUUGCUCCUCUGACGUUAGCGGUGGACGGGUGAGUAACACGUGGAUAACCUACCUAUAAGACUGGGAUAACUUCGGGAAACCGGAGCUAAUACCGGAUAAUAUAUUGAACCGCAUGGUUCAAUAGUGAAAGACGGUUUUGCUGUCACUUAUAGAUGGAUCCGCGCCGCAUUAGCUAGUUGGUAAGGUAACGGCUUACCAAGGCAACGAUGCGUAGCCGACCUGAGAGGGUGAUCGGCCACACUGGAACUGAGACACGGUCCAGACUCCUACGGGAGGCAGCAGUAGGGAAUCUUCCGCAAUGGGCGAAAGCUUGACGGAGCAACGCCGCGUGAGUGAUGAAGGUCUUCGGAUCGUAAAACUCUGUUAUUAGGGAAGAACAAAUGUGUAAGUAACUAUGCACGUCUUGACGGUACCUAAUCAGAAAGCCACGGCUAACUACGUG
rnacentral:rRNA from 1 species